rnacentral:rRNA from 1 species
ACAAGCGGUGGAGCAUGUGGUUUAAUUCGAAGCAACGCGAAGAACCUUACCAGGUCUUGACAUCCUUUUGAAUGGUCUAGAGAUAGAUCAGGCCUUCGGGACAGAAGAGACAGGUGGUGCAUGGUUGUCGUCAGCUCGUGUCGUGAGAUGUUGGGUUAAGUCCCGCAACGAGCGCAACCCUUAUCAUUAGUUGCUAACAUUCAGUUGAGAACUCUAAUGAGACUGCCAGUGAUAAACUGGAGGAAGGUGGGAUGACGUCAAAUCAUCAUGCCCCUUAUGACCUGGGCUACACACGUGCUACAAUGGUCGGUACAAAGAGUUGCGAAACUGUGAAGUUAAGCUAAUCUCAUAAAGCCGGUCUCAGUUCGGAUUGUAGUCUGCAACUCGACUACAUGAAGUCGGAAUCGCUAGUAAUCGCGAAUCAGAAUGUCGCGGUGAAUACGUUCUCGAGUCUU